ensembl:lncRNA
UUGGGGAAAAAAGCAGAAAAGAAAAUAUUAAAAAUUAAAUGUAACUUUUUCUAACAAUCCACGAGCACUCCGUACAUCCUCAUGAGACCUGGGCAUUCACUGUUGCAAGUAAAAGCAAAACUAAGAGGUGUGGAGUUCGUUUUGCUCACUAUCAAGAAAGGAACACGGGUCUGAACUGAGGGAGGAAAAUCUGGAAGCAGGCAGCUCCUCUGACAGCUCUGUGGUCCCAGCUUCCAGUUUGAUUCAUGGCCGGCGCUGAGACACAGGAAGUUCGUGUCUGCUGUAAUCUAAACACCAUGAAAACGGAACAGAAGAAACAGUGCAGAAAGACACAGUAAUCUGGAUUGUCCCUCAAUUCAACAGCAAUAAAAUCUGGACUUAGUGUUUAGCUGGAAAUUAAGACAGUGUUCACUGCUCCAGAAACAGCCACUGGGGGAAAGGGACUAUUUAAGCAACAACAACCGGAAGGUAUAUUUAGCUGUCCAUACUCCUCAUUGAAGAGGAAACCACCCUCUACUGUUAUUAUUACACUGUGCAAACAAAGAAAAGGGGACAAAAUCUUGUCUUUAAUCCAAAGCAAGAAUUUACCAAAGGGAAGAGGAGAGGAAUCCAGAGCAACAAGUCUGAUCCUUAAAGCAUCUCUUUUUAGCAAGAAGGUGAGUGUUUAGCACUUUGGGGGCCUCUCUGUGCAGCUCAGAGACUGGCCGCUCCUCAGGAAGCUCGCUGGAACCGUAACAUUAUCUGCCAUAAUUCGCACACCAGAGGAUCUGUCAACAGGCAGUGGUGGGCCGUUCUGUUUCAACUGAAGUAAUUAAAUCUCUCUGCUCCCAUAAAAGUAAAAUAAAAUAAAAACACAACUGCUUGCUGCUGGUCAGUGG